rnacentral:lncRNA from 10 species
AUUAAGCAACACAUAACUUUAGUAUAAGAGAAUGUUUGGCAUCUUGUGAAAUCUUAAUAAGCAGCCAUUACAACUUUCACAUAUUAGAGAGUUACCUGGGAGGAUUUUGAUGAAUUACUCUAACAAGAAGACUACAAAAUGCAAUGGCUUCAACAAAGUAGAGACAGAGUCUCAGUCUGCCGCUCAGGCUGCAGUGCAAUAGUGCAAUCACAGAUUAUGGAAGCAUUGAUCUCCCAGGCUGAAGUGAGCCUCCAGGCUCAAGCAAUCUUCCUGCCUCAGUCUCGUGAGUAGUUGGAACUACACCUACACACCACCAAGCCCUGAGGACUCGCUAUAUUGCCCAGUUUCAGAUUACUUCUUCUAUGGAUGCUGUGGGGAUAUUCCAAAAAUCUGCUCUCUAUGGAUGGAUGGCAGUGUGUUAUUUGGCAAGGAUUUUUUACUGCAAUUCCUCCCAUGCUCUGUAGGUAUGCCAAAAUAAAGAAAAUAAAACCACUUUUAACUGACAAAGUCUGGCUUACUUGUAGAAAAUAUUUUGGAAUGUGUUUUAGACUUUUGAAUGUCUAAACACUUUUUUCACCAAAAAAAAUUAUUUAAAAAACAAUCUAUAUCCAGGAGCUGUCAAUUGUUUGUCACAGACAAAAUCAUUCUACACAGAACAGUAAAACACAUUUCAUAUCAUAUAAAUUUAAUUAUGCUAAAUUUAAUUUACUUUACUUUACAUGUGGACAGGCUCAAUUUUAUUCCACAUAGAAAAAAAUAUUUGAACUUAACUAUUUCAGGGAAGCAUUUCUAACAACAUUUGGUUCAAAUGUUAUUUUUUAGAAAAUUAUUUCCUGUGGUGUUUGUAUAAUCAGAUAUCUAGAACCUGCUAGUUUGAUAUAGCCUAAGGAGUUUAGCCUUCCUGUUCACCUCUCUUCUCCCAACCAGCAGUAGAAACACAGAGACCAAAGCAUAAAGAAUUUCAGGGUUUGGGCUGCUUUUUGACUUAUAUCCUCUGUGUUCAGAGCAUUUCUUUUUUUUUUUUUUUUUC